rnacentral:tRNA from 1 species
CAUAGCUCAAUUGGAUAGAGCGUCGGCCUCCGAAGCCGAAGGUUGCAGGUUCGAUUCCUGUUGG